AACGAACGCUGGCGGUAUGCUUAACACAUGCAAGUCGAACGAACAAAAUUGGGCUUGCUCCAAUUUUAGUGAGUGGCAAACGGGUGAGUAACACGUGGGAAUCUACCUAUCAGUACGGAAUAACAUUUGGAAACAGAUGCUAAUACCGUAUAUUCUCCAAGGAGGAAAGAUUUAUCGCUGAUAGAUGAGCCCGCGUAAGAUUAGGUAGUUGGUAGGGUAAUGGCCUACCAAGCCGACGAUCUUUAGCUGGUCUGAGAGGAUGAUCAGCCACACUGGGACUGAGACACGGCCCAGACUCCUACGGGAGGCAGCAGUGGGGAAUAUUGGACAAUGGGCGAAAGCCUGAUCCAGCAAUACCGCGUGAGUGAUGAAGGCCUUAGGGUU
rnacentral:rRNA from 1 species